rnacentral:rRNA from 1 species
AGCGAACGCUGGCGGCAUGCUUAACACAUGCAAGUCGCACGACCGGGUUUCGGCCUGGGAGUGGCGGACGGGUGAGUAUCGCGUAGGGAUUUGUCGUUGGGUGGGGGACAACCUUGGGAAACUGGGGCUAAUACCGCAUGACGCCUGUGGGCCAAAGCUCGAGAGGGCGCCUGACGAGGAGCCUGCGUCCGAUUAGGUAGUUGGUUGGGUGAUGGCUGACCAAGCCUGCGAUCGGUAGCUGGUCUGAGAGGA